rnacentral:tRNA from 1 species
GUCCCUGUCGUCUAGCCCGGUCUAGGACAUUACCCUUUCACGGUAGAAACAUGGGUUCAAAUCCCAUCAGGGACGCCA